rnacentral:rRNA from 1 species
GACGAACGCUGGCGGCGUGCUUAACACAUGCAAGUCGAACGGAAACGCCCUGCUUUUGUGGGGUGCUCGAGUGGCGAACGGGUGAGUAACACGCGAGUAACCUGCCCUUGACUUUGGGAUAACUUCAGGAAACUGGGGCUAAUACCGGAUAGGAGCUCCUGGUGCAUGGUGGGGGUUGGAAAGGUUCGGCGGUUGGGGUUGGACUCGCGGCUGAUCAGCUUGUGGGUGGGGUAGUGGCUUACCAAGGCUUUGACGGGUAGCCGGCCUGAGAGGGUGACCGGCCACAUUGGGACUGAGCUACGGCCCAGACUCCUACGGGAGGCAGCGGUGGAGAAUAGUGCACAAUGGGCGGAAGGCUGAUGUAGCAACGCCGCGCGCGGGAUGACGGCCUUCGGGUUGUAUACCGAUUUCGCCUGUGACGAGGCGUGAGUGACGGUAAUUGGUAAAGAAGCACCGGCUAACUACGUG